CCUGCACGCUGUUAGAGCUCAGAGCUGAGGUCAGUUUCUGUCCGAAGAACUACUGAGUGUAGGAAGCGUGCUACAUCAGCCUCUGCAAGUCUUUUCGCUAACGCCAUAAGGACCUCUUUGGUUCAAUGAAUGGAGUUUGAUAGUGAUUCUUGCUACAUGU